UACGUAGGGGGCAAGCGUUGUCCGGAUUUACUGGGCGUAAAGGGCGCGUAGGCGGCCUCCGCAAGUCAAUUGUGAAAUCUCCGGGCUUAACUCGGAAAGGUCAACUGAUACUGCGGGGCUAGAGUGCGGAAGGGGCAACUGGAAUUCUUGGUGUAGCGGUGAAAUGCGUAGAUAUCAAGAGGAACACCUGCGGCGAAGGCGGGUUGCUGGGCCGACACUGACGCUGAGGCGCGAAAGCUAGGGGAGCGAACGGG
rnacentral:rRNA from 1 species